rnacentral:rRNA from 1 species
CGUAAGUGAUCUGCCCCGGAGAGGGGGAUAUCCGGAGAAAUCCGGGCCUAAUACCCCGUACGUUCAUGUGGCUACGGCUAUAUGAAGAAAGGUUUCGACCGCUCUGGGAGGAGCUUGCGGCCUAUCAGGUAGUUGGCGGGGUAAUGGCCCACCAAGCCUAAGACGGGUAACCGAUGUGAGAGCAUGAUCGGUCAGAGGGGGACUGAGACCCGGCCCCCACUCCUACGGGAGGCAGCAGCAGGGAAUCUUGCGCAAUGGGCGAAAGCCUGACGCAGCGACACCGCGUGGGGGAAGAAGGCUUUAGGGUUGUAAACCCCUUUUCUGUGGGAAGAGAUAGGACGGUACCACAGGAAUAAGCAUCGGCUAACUACGUGCCAGCAGCCGCGGUAAUACGUAGGAUGCAAGCGUUGUCCGGAUUUACUGGGCGUAAAGGGUGUGUAGGCGGCAUGUUAAGUCUCAUGUGAAAUCUCCCGGCUCAACUGGGAGCGGUCAUGGGAAACUGGCAAGCUCGAGGGCAGCAGAGGAAAGCGGAAUUCCGGGAGUAGUGGUGGAAUGCGUAGAUACCCGGAGGAACACCAGAGGCGAAGGCGGCUUUCUGGGCUGUACCUGACGCUGAGACACGAAAGCGUGGGGAGCAAACCGGAUUAGAUACCCUGGUAGUC